rnacentral:rRNA from 1 species
GAUGAACGCUGGCGGCGUGCCUAAUACAUGCAAGUCGAGCGAACGGACGAGAAGCUUGCUUCUCUGAUGUUAGCGGCGGACGGGUGAGUAACACGUGGAUAACCUACCUAUAAGACUGGGAUAACUUCGGGAAACCGGAGCUAAUACCGGAUGAUAUUUUGAACCGCAUGGUUCAAAAGUGAAAGACGGUCUUGCUGUCACUUAUAGAUGGAUCCGCGCUGCAUUAGCUAGUUGGUAAGGUAACGGCUUACCAAGGCAACGAUGCAUAGCCGACCUGAGAGGGUGAUCGGCCACACUGGAACUGAGACACGGUCCAGACUCCUACGGGAGGCAGCAGUAGGGAAUCUUCCGCAAUGGGCGAAAGCCUGACGGAGCAACGCCGCGUGAGUGAUGAAGGUCUUCGGAUCGUAAAACUCUGUUAUUAGGGAAGAACAUAUGUGUAAGUAACUGUGCACAUCUUGACGGUACCUAAUCAGAAAGCCACGGCUAACUACGUGCCAGCAGCCGCGGUAAUACGUAGGUGGCAAGCGUUAUCCGGAAUUAUUGGGCGUAAAGCGCGCGUAGGCGGUUUUUUAAGUCUGAUGUGAAAGCCCACGGCUCAACCGUGGAGGGUCAUUGGAAACUGGAAAACUUGAGUGCAGAAGAGGAAAGUGGAAUUCCAUGUGUAGCGGUGAAAUGCGCAGAGAUAUGGAGGAACACCAGUGGCGAAGGCGACUUUCUGGUCUGUAACUGACGCUGAUGUGCGAAAGCGUGGGGAUCAAACAGGAUUAGAUACCCUGGUAGUCCACGCCGUAAACGAUGAGUGCUAAGUGUUAGGGGGUUUCCGCCCCUUAGUGCUGCAGCUAACGCAUUAAGCACUCCGCCUGGGGAGUACGACCGCAAGGUUGAAACUCAAAGGAAUUGACGGGGACCCGCACAAGCGGUGGAGCAUGUGGUUUAAUUCGAAGCAACGCGAAGAACCUUACCAAAUCUUGACAUCCUUUGACAACUCUAGAGAUAGAGCCUUCCCCUUCGGGGGACAAAGUGACAGGUGGUGCAUGGUUGUCGUCAGCUCGUGUCGUGAGAUGUUGGGUUAAGUCCCGCAACGAGCGCAACCCUUAAGCUUAGUUGCCAUCAUUAAGUUGGGCACUCUAAGUUGACUGCCGGUGACAAACCGGAGGAAGGUGGGGAUGACGUCAAAUCAUCAUGCCCCUUAUGAUUUGGGCUACACACGUGCUACAAUGGACAAUACAAGGGGCAGCGAAACCGCGAGGUCAAGCAAAUCCCAUAAAGUUGUUCUCAGUUCGGAUUGUAGUCUGCAACUCGACUACAUGAAGCUGGAAUCGCUAGUAAUCGUAGAUCAGCAUGCUACGGUGAAUACGUUCCCGGGUCU